rnacentral:rRNA from 1 species
CCCUUAGAUGUCCUGGGCCGCACGCGCGCUACACUGACAUGUUCAACAAGUUUCUCCUAGUUCGACAGGACUGGGAAAUCUUUGAACGCAUGUCGUGAUAGGGAUAGAUCAUUGCAAUUAUUUAUCUUGAACGAGGAAUUCCUAGUAAACGCGAGUCAUCAGCUCGCAUUGAUUACGUCCCUGCCCUUUGUACACACCGCCCGUCGCACCUACCGAUUGAAUGUUUCGGUGAAGAUUCCGGAUAGGACUGAUUUGAUUUAUUUCAUUUCUGACCUAAAAGCUAUCUAAACCUCAACAUUUAGAGGAAGGUGAAGUCGUAACA